GAUUAGAACCUUCCUUGGGCUUGGAUUGGAAGGAUUCUAGCUCUCCUUUGGAGCUUAGGAGAGGAUUUUUACUCUUGAGGUGAGUUUUGGCCCUUUUUGCUUCUAGGUUAAUGUUUGAUCUUAUAGUUGAUCGUAAUGCCCGUGUAUCUCUUCGCUCAAUACUUUUAGGGUAUUUUGAGACUCGUGGACAACUCCGUUCGGCGAAUCGAAAGAGCACGCGACGGUUCGGUGGGUUUGACCUAGCCACACAAUGAGAAAAUCUCAUUUGUGAUGAUUGGAGUAUCAUUAAUUGAAAAAACAUGCAUAAUCAUGUUGAUUAUAUUUAUUAUGAAUUUUAGAAUACUUAACAUGCAUAUGUUAUGUAUAGUAAAUUUUUGGACCCCUAUGUGGUAGGGUGCAUGCAUGUGGGAUAUAGCAUUCUAGUUGAGACUUGGAAUCAUGAUUCCUAUUAUGAAAAUGAACAUUGCUUUCAUGCAUUUAACCUUUAUGCCUAAUUGUGACAUUAGGGAUCUUGGAAGCCUAGAGAGGCUUGGGGACUUAGACUAUUUGGGAUUUUGGGUCAAUGUCAUAAAGAGGCAUUGGGCCCCGGGCUUUAGUGAACAUUGGUAUUAAUGCCAUUUUCGGAACAUAGAACAUGAAUUGAGCUUGAUUAGUGGUGAUGCUUAAGUGUCAUAAAGAGGCACUAAGCAGGUGAGAGUUGAGAUAUCACAUUGUGACAUAGAGCUAGACCGUUGGGUUACUAGUAGCUACUACCCUGUUUGAAACAUGAGGGUUGGAUACUUGAGCCUUGACUACGCUUGUUUGCCAUUUGUGCUCAUUCGCACAUGCUUGUGAGGGUCGCUCCCUACAAGCCGGCACUCCGGAGUUCGCCCACGCGACUUAUGUUCGCUCGUGCUGUAUUGAGAAGCCUACGGGGUCGAGUGGGACAGACACAUUCCAAGAGUAGGGAUGUUGGGCUACCACAGGCACUUAGGCGGUACAAGCUGGACUACCUUUGGUAGGUCCUUAAUUGGAAAUGAAAAUCGACUCAGUGUUGAGAAUGAAUAAUCACUACUAGAUAGGCUUAGUAGUUGGAUUACUUGACAUGCUCAUGACAUAGCAUUGGGAUAUAUAGUAUACUUGCCUGUUUCAUUCAUUGCAUCGUAGUAUACUGGGUUGCUUUGAUAGAGCUCACUCCUUAUGCAUUGACUUAUUGCAUCGUGAGGUUUACUUGUUUAUUAUGUUGAGGCAUAUUAGUAUGCAUUGGACAUUUUAUCUCGUGUUAGCGUAGAUGCACAUCACCAUGACAUCAUGCUUACUUGAGACAUAGUGGUAUAGCAUUUCAUUUAUGCUUUCUUUCAGCAGUUCUUAUACUCGCUCUUUAUUGCUUAUUAUUAUUGUCGUUACUUACCCUUUUCUCUUGGGGCCUAGUGGUGCAUUGAGUUGAGGUCAGUAAUUGCCCACUGGGAAUUAUAAAUUAUAGUUCUCACGCCCUCUUUUCUCGAUGUUUUUCAGAGCCUUCCACGCCAGGAGAGGCUAGGGAUCGCGGAAAGGGUAUCGCCUCGGGCUAGCUUUCUACGCCGAGGGACCGAUUGAUAGAUGGUCUACCUCUCUUUGUUUCUUUUUGUGAGAGGUUGAGAGUUUUACCCGUGUACUAGAGACCGUCAUUUUUGUACUAGAGACUGAUAUUGUACUACUUAUGUUUACUUUUAUUAUUUAGUUAUGUUUCUUUUACUCUUGUUUAGAUGAUAGAACUUUACUCGCUCUGAUAUCAUUAGUUGCCGUUUAUUCUAUUUGUUCUAUCUUUUGCUUUAUUUUCGCUGUUGUUGUAGACGCCUUAUGCGGUUCGCUGUUGUUGUAGACAUAUGGCGGGUCUGAGCGCGCUCCCGGGAGGGCCUCUGCCGGUCCCGGGGCGUGACAGUAGAAAGGCUUUGUGAUGGUAUUAGAGAACUUCUUGGUUGAUUCUAAGCCAUUUUUAGCUUAGGAAUGAGAUCAAAUCCAAGAGCAAACCGCAUAGGGCUUGGUUAGGGUUCAAAUUUGGGGCUUUUGCCCUAGGAUUUUUCGGGGAUAAAUUAAACCCGUGGAAACCUAAUUGGGGGUAUUUUAAACGCGUUGGAACGCUCGGUUCGACAAUCCGAUGAGUGUACGCAAAGUUAUUGACAAAAACGUCAUUUUCCGUAUAGAUAGCCGCAGCACGCGGACUUGGGCUUCAAAAAUU
rnacentral:lncRNA from 1 species